UCAAUAAGCGGAGGAAAAGAAACUAACGAGGAUUCCCCUAGUAACGGCGAGUGAAGUGGGAAGAGCUCAAAUUUGUAAUCUGGCAGUCUCCGGGCUGUCCGAGUUGUAGUCUGGAGAAGCGUCUUCCGUGCCGGACCGUGUACAAGUCCCUUGGAACAGGGCGUCGUAGAGGGUGAGAAUCCCGUCUCUGACACGGACUGCCGGUGCCCUGUGAUGCGCUCUCGAAGAGUCGAGUUGUUUGGGAAUGCAGCUCAAAAUGGGUGGUAAAUUCCAUCUAAAGCUAAAUACUGGCGAAAGACCGAUAGCGAACAAGUACCGUGAGGGAAAGAUGAAAAGCACUUUGGAAAGAGAGUUAACAGUACGUGAAAUUGUUGAAAGGGAAACGCUUGAAGUCAUCGUGUCUCCCGAGACUCAGCCGGGUGCCUUAACCCUGUGCACUUCUCGGUGUGACGGGCCAGCAUCGAUUUCGACUGUCGGAGAAAGGCCUUGGGAAUGUGGCACCUCCGGGUGUGUUUAUAGCCCUCGGCCGUAUGUGACGGUCGGGAUCGAGGAAUGCAGCGCGCCUCCCUUUCGAGGCCGGGGUUCGCCCACGUAACGCGCUUAGGAUGCUUGGCGUAAUGGCUU
rnacentral:rRNA from 1 species